rnacentral:rRNA from 1 species
AGCGAAACGGGAAGAGCCCAAACCAACAAGCUUGCUUGUUGGGGUUGUAGGACACUCUAUACGGAGUUACAAAGGACGACAUUAGACGAAUCAUCUGGAAAGAUGAAUCAAAGAAGGUAAUAAUCCUGUAGUCGAAAAUGUUGUCUCUCUUGAGUGGAUCCUGAGUACGACGGAGCACGUGAAAUUCCGUCGGAAUCUGGGAGGACCAUCUCCUAAGGCUAAAUACUCUCUAGUGACCGAUAGUGAACCAGUACCGUGAGGGAAAGGUGAAAAGCACCCCGGAAGGGGAGUGAAAUAGAACCUGAAACCGUGUGCUUACAAGUAGUCAGAGCCCGUUAAUGGGUGAUGGCGUGCCUUUUGUAGAAUGAACCGGCGAGUUACGAUUUGAUGCAAGGUUAAGCAGUAAAUGUGGAGCCGUAGCGAAAGCGAGUCUGAAUAGGGCGUUUAGUAUUUGGUCGUAGACCCGAAACCAGGUGAUCUACCCUUGGUCAGGUUGAAGUUCAGGUAACACUGAAUGGAGGACCGAACCGACUUACGUUGAAAAGUGAGCGGAUGAACUGAGGGUAGCGGAGAAAUUCCAAUCGAACCUGGAGAUAGCUGGUUCUCUCCGAAAUAGCUUUAGGGCUAGCCUCAAGUGAUGAUUAUUGGAGGUAGAGCACUGUUUGGACGAGGGGCCCCUCUCGGGUUACCGAAUUCAGACAAACUCCGAAUGCCAAUUAAUUUAACUUGGGAGUCAGAACAUGGGUGAUAAGGUCCGUGUUCGAAAGGGAAACAGCCCAGACCACCAGCUAAGGUCCCAAAAUAUAUGUUAAGUGGAAAAGGAUGUGGCGUUGCCCAGACAACUAGGAUGUUGGCUUAGAAGCAGCCAUCAUUUAAAGAGUGCGUAAUAGCUCACUAGUCGAGUGACACUGCGCCGAAAAUGUACCGGGGCUA